AUUGAACGCUGGCGGCAGGCCUAACACAUGCAAGUCGAACGAGUGGCGGACGGGUGAGUAAUGUCUGGGAAACUGACCGAUGGAGGGGGAUAACUACUGGAAACGGUAGCUAAUACCGCAUACCAUCGGAUGUGCCCAGUUGGGAUUAGCUUGGUGGUGGGGUAACGGCUGACCUAGGCGACGAUCCCUAGCGGGUCUGAGAGGAUGACCAGCCAAACGGGAACUGAGACACGGUCAAGCCUCCUACGGGAGGCAGCAGUGGGGAAUAUUGGACAAGGGGCGCAAGCCGGAUGCAGCCAUGCCGCGUGUAUGAAGAAGGCCUUCGGGUUGUAAAGUACUUUCAGCGAGGAGGCGUUACUCGCAGAAGAAGCACCGGCUAACUCCGUGCCAGCAGCCGCGGUAAUUC
rnacentral:rRNA from 1 species